AUAAUACUAAUGUAAUUAAUUAGUAAAAACAGUGUUUAUACAAAAUAAUCAUUUCUCAAAAUGUAUAGUUUUACAAAUAAAUAUCGAAAGUCAUAAAGACCCUAGAGUCUAAAUACAACCCUUUCCCGUGUCAGAAUCAGAGCGGAGCUUCAUCGACGACUCGACAUCGAAUACCACAAAAUCCUGUAAAAUCUGGACCCCCAACGGUCCAGCACAUAACACAUAAAAGAGAGUUAGAUAACAUACUCAAAAUAUAAG
rnacentral:lncRNA from 1 species